rnacentral:lncRNA from 1 species
GAGUCCUCUCCCCUGAGUCCAUUGUCACAUCCCCUGAGUCCUCUCCCCUGAGUCCUCUCCCCUGAGUCCUCUCCCCUGAGCCCAUUGUCACAUCCCCUGACUCCUCUCCCCUGAGUCCUCUCCCCUGAGUCCAUUGUCAUAUCCCCUGAGCCCUCUCCCCUGAGCCCAUUGUCACAUCCCCUGAGCCCUCUCCCCUGAGUCCUCUCCCCUGAGCCCUCUCCCCUGAGCCCUCUCCCUGAGUCCAUUGUCACAUCCUCUGAGCCCUCUCCUCUGAGCCCUCUCCGCUGAGCCCUCUCCCCUGAGUCCUCU